rnacentral:rRNA from 1 species
CCAGGACCAAGGUCAGCAGCAGGCGCGAAAAUUAUCGAAGCCCGCCUAGGGGCGAUAGUGAGGAGACGUGUAUAACGAAGUACGUGUAAAGAACGUACUAAUAACUGGAGGUCAAGUCUGGUGCCAGCAUCCGCGGUAAUUCCAGCUCCAGGGGUGUCUAUGAUGAUUGCUGCGAUUAAAAAGUCCGUAGUCAAACUGACUGACUGACCUGCAAUGUGAUUGAUUAAAGAACGAGCAGGGUUAGGAAAGCAGAGAAUUAGGAGCGACCGAGGGCUAGAGUAUUGAAUGGCGAGAGGUGAAAUUUGAUGACCCAUUCAGGAGUGACAAAGGCGAGGGCACUAGUCAAGGGCGAAUCCGAUGAUCAAGGACGUAGGCUAGAGUUUCGAAAACGAUUAGAGACCGGAGUAGUUCUAGCAGUAAACUAUGCCGACGCCGUGACAUUGUUUUUUGUGGCAGUAUUGCGGAAGAGAAAUCAAGUAAGGCUUUGGGGAGAGUACGCGCGCAAGCGAUAAAUU